UACGGAGGGUGCAAGCGUUAUCCGGAUUCACUGGGUUUAAAGGGUGCGUAGGUGGGAAUGUAAGUCAGUGGUGAAAUCUCCGUGCUUAACAUGGAAACUGCCAUUGAUACUAUGUUUCUUGAAUUUUCUGGAGGUAAGCGGAAUAUGUCAUGUAGCGGUGAAAUGCUUAGAUAUGACAUAGAACACCCAUUGCGAAGGCAGCUUACUACGGAACUAUUGACACUGAGGCUCGAAAGCGUGGGGAUCAAACAGG
rnacentral:rRNA from 1 species